UACGUAGGGUGCAGGCGUUAAUCGGAAUUACUGGGCGUAAAGCGUGCGCAGGCGGUCUUUUAAGUCAGAUGUGAAAUCCCCGGGCUUAACCUGGGAACUGCGUUUGAAACUGGAAGGCUAGAGUGUGGCAGAGGGGGGUGGAAUUCCACGUGGUAGCAGUGAAAUGCGUAGAGAUGUGGAGGAACACCGAUGGCGAAGGCAGCCCC
rnacentral:rRNA from 1 species